CAAGUUAAGGAUAUGUACAGUGGUCUACAUAAGACAUAGCUAUAUCUAAUUUCAGAGUUAUGUAUUAGUAAUAUUUUUGUCAGGUAUCCCUGCUCAAUGUAAUUUUUAAAGGAAAUCUACUGUAAAAACUGCACUGAAAAUAAGAUCCAUACCCCCACUCCUUCCAUAAUUGCAGCCACUCUCUUUUUCCAUUACCACCCCCACAACACAAAUAAUUGGAUUAGCAUCCCCAAAAAAAGGAGCUAAGGAGAAUGUAGAAAAGGUAAAGAUGGAAACGAAGUGGUCUCACCUAUGAUCAUGGGAAAAGCAAUCAAUCAACCAAUAAUAAAGAUAACUGUGCGAGUCUUAAUUUUGACCAAAAAUCCAUGAAUUUUUUUGAUAGGAAUUUGAUUUGAAGUAUUAUUUUUCUCACAGUGGUUCCAGAACAGAGUUUGCCCUGGCUAAACAGCUGCUCUCUUUAUCCCUCGGGCUACCAAUGACAAAGAAGCCUGGACACAAGGGCUUGCUGAGAGCCUCCAAACCAGAAUGACCUCCCCAGGACCCUGAAUCUGCAAGAGCAACCUUUCUAAGUUUCACCUCCUGAAACUGAAUGACUUUGCAUCAUUCCCUGAAAGAGACCCCACAUUUGUGGGAUAACCAUUCUUCUCUGAUUCCAAACUGCUUCCAGAGCAAAUGUGCCCCAACAUGUCAUAUGAAGGAGGCUGCACAUUUUGACAUUUUGAUGUUAGUAUCAGCCUUAUUGAUGAAUAGUCCCAAGUUUGGAAGUAUUUUGAAAGCUGCCCUUGUCUGCCGCAGUAGGGAUGCGCAAACCUGAUUAGACUUUCAUAGUCCACAGUGAGCAUUAAUUUGUUCAGCGCUGUCUUCAGGUGGAACAUCUGCAUAAAUCUAGCUUUGUGAAUAUUUUUAAACUGAGAGAUUUUCCAUCUGUUUUGGAGUUAUAGCAGUCCACAUUAUCCUCACUUGAGCUCUUAAUGAUAUAUGUGUGAUGGAAACAAGACGUCUUAACGUGUAAGUAUUCACUGCCUCCCCAGUCCUGUCUGUGCAGAUUCUACCCUUCCCCCACCACCUUAAGCAAGUCUUUCUUUGCCAGUCUAGUUCUUGGUGUUUUUGUAAUGCAAAAUUAGAAGACAGGGAGAGCAACUGGGCCAGAGCUGCAGUCAAGUAAGGGAAAGGAUAUUUGCUUUCUGGGUCAGCCCUGGGUUCUUUCUUGUGGAGAAUCCAGGUAAUGAGCAAAGCAGAAAUGAAACCAUAAAAAGAAGCUCAAUUCUAAAUUGAUCUAAAUAAGAAAGAGCUUAAGGUGGGGGCAGGAGGAAGAAGACAGAAAAGCCAUAAAAGGUGGGUGUCAGGGGAAUUGGGGGAUUUUGAGAAGACUGCAAAAAACACGGAGUACGAAAGAAGUGUGGAAGACAGAUAAUAUUUUUUAAAGUAUUGUUGUGGGUUAUGGCACAGAUCUCCCUAACAGUUCUUGAGAAAUGCACAUAAAAUAUUAAAAUGUCUUUUAAUUUCUGUUGGGCUACUGGAGUAUAUAUUUCUUCAAAUGGAAUGCUAUGCUAAAAUUGAUUCAUCUGAGCCCUGUACACACAUAUACACACUUUAUAUUUGGAUCAUAUACAAUCCUUCCUAACUAAACAGCCAGGAUCCGGUUACAUAUUCUCUUUGAACUCAGCCUGGGGCUCUAUCUGAUCUUUUGCCCACCCCAACCUGGGCAACCAUCUCCUUCCAGACUGUAAGAGAGAGAAAUAAUCUUCUAUUAUAUUUGAACCAAUGAUUUAUGGAAGUAUCUGUUAUUGCAGCUUAGCCUAUACCACAAUCAAUACAUUUAGAAUAUGUUGCUUUCAGUUUAAGGAAUUAUUAAUUAAUAAAUAAUGCAACUUUUAUAUACCA
rnacentral:lncRNA from 12 species